GAGGAAUAUUGGACAAUGGGUGAGAGCCUGAUCCAGCCAUCCCGCGUGAAGGACGACGGCCCUAUGGGCUGUAAACUUCUUUUGUACAGGGAUAAACCUUUCCACGUGUGGAAAGCGGAAGGUACUGUACGAAUAAGCACCGGCUAACUCCGUGCCAGCAGCCGCGGUAAUACGGAGGGUGCAAGCGUUAUCCGGAUUUAUUGGGUUUAAAGGGUCCGUAGGCGGAUCUGUAAGUCAGUGGUGAAAUCUCAUAGCUUAACUAUGGAACUGCCAUUGAUACUGCAGGUCUUGAGUAAGGUAGAAGUAGCUGGAAUAAGUAGUGUAGCGGUGAAAUGCGUAGAUAUAUGGAAGAACACCAGUGGCGAAGGCGGCUCUCUGGUCUGUAACUGACGCUGAGGCUCGAAAGCGUGGGUAGCAAACA
rnacentral:rRNA from 1 species